CUUCAGCCAAUUAAGCUGACCAGGUCCCUUUACUCAUGAGGACCCAGUAAGCAGUGCAUGCAACCUGUUGCUUGUGUGGGUUGCUCUAAGGGACCUUGGAGACAGUU
ensembl:snoRNA SNORA70 Small nucleolar RNA SNORA70